rnacentral:rRNA from 1 species
UGGGGAAUCUUGCGCAAUGGGCGAAAGCCUGACGCAGCGACGCCGCGUGGGGGACGAAGGCCCUUAGGGUCGUAAACCCCUUUCGGCAGGGACGAAGCGAUCACGUGACGGUACCUGCAGAAGAAGCCUCGGCUAACUACGUGCCAGCAGCCGCGGUAACACGUAGGAGGCGAGCGUUGUCCGGAAUCAUUGGGCGUAAAGAGCGCGCAGGCGGCUCGGUAAGUCGGUUGUGAAAUCCCAGGGCUCAACCCUGGGACUGCGUCCGAUACUAUCGAGCUAGAGGUAGGUAGGGGAGAUCGGAAUUCCUGGUGUAGCGGUGAAAUGCGCAGAUAUCAGGAGGAACACCGGUGGCGAAGGCGGAUCUCUGGGCCUUACCUGACGCUCAGGCGCGAAAGCUAGGGGAGCGAACAG